AUAUAUAUAUAUAUAUAUGGUGUAAGAAAAAGAAUAAAACCAAUUAUAGCAGCGAUUCCAUCUAAGAAUAUCUGAAGAAGGAAUAUUAUUCCGAAAUAUCAU